rnacentral:rRNA from 1 species
UACGGAGGGGGCGAGCGUUGUUCGGAAUUACUGGGCGUAAAGCGCACGUAGGCGGCUUUGUAAGUUAGAGGUGAAAGUCCGGGGCUCAACCCCGGAAUUGCCUUUAAGACUGCAUCGCUAGAAUUGGGGAGAGGUGAGUGGAAUUCCGAGUGUAGAGGUGAAAUUCGUAGAUAUUCGGAAGAACACCAGUGGCGAAGGCGACUCACUGGACACAUAUUGACGCUGAGGUGCGAAAGCGUGGGGAGCAAACAGG